UACGAAGGGGGCUAGCGUUGUUCGGAAUUACUGGGCGUAAAGCGCGCGCAGGCGGUCUUGCAAGUCAGAGGUGAAAGCCCGGAGCUCAACUCCGGAACUGCCCCUGAGACUGCUGGACUUGAGUACGGGAGAGGUGAGUGGAAUUCCGGGUGUAGAGGUGAAAUUCGUAGAUAUUCGGAAGAACACCGGUGGCGAAGGCGGCUCACUGGCCCGUUACUGACGCUCAGGCGCGACAGCGUGGGGAUCAAACAGGAUUAGAUACCCUGGUAGUCCACGCCGUAAGCGAUGGAUGCUAGCCGUUGGUAAGCAUGCUUAUCAGUGGCGCAGCUAACGCAUUAAGCAUCCCGCCUGGGGAGUACGGCCGCAAGGUUGAAACUCAAAG
rnacentral:rRNA from 1 species